rnacentral:misc_RNA from 1 species
CUUUUUUAUUUUUAUUUUUUUUUUAAUACAUACUAGCUACAGAUAAGGAAAACAUCAAAGCUAAUCCAAAAGAAGGAAUUUUUAACUCUGAUGAGCUCAUCUCCCACCAGAUAGCUCAAUAGCAAGCUGGUUAUAUGAUGAAUCAUCUCCCCACUCAAAUCUUCUCUGCAAUCUUUCAUAUUCUUGCCUGCGUGUAUCCUCAACAUGCUGCCAUUCUUCCCAUCUCUCGGCCAGACCCUCUCCUUCCAGCAUCCGUA